rnacentral:misc_RNA from 1 species
GUAGGUGAACCUGCGGAAGGAUCAUUAAAAAAGGGUCUUUAGACCCAUUUUAAAACCUACCACCACCUAUCAUUUGUGGCCUGUCUAUGGGUGAGAUGGAGGAGGUAUGGUUUUUUAAAAUCCAAUUAACAUAUAUAUAUAUCGUCUAACGACGAAACAAAAAAAAUUUUAAAAACUUUCAACAAUGGAUCUCUUGGCUCUCGCA